AUUGAACGCUGGCGGCAGGCCUAACACAUGCAAGUCGAACGAGUGGCGGACGGGUGAGUAAUGUCUGGGAAACUGCCUGAUGGAGGGGGAUAACUACUGGAAACGGUCGCUAAUACCGCAUACCAUCAGAUGUGCCCAGAUGGACUUAGCUAGUAGGUGGGGGAAAGGCGUACCUAGGCGACGAUCCCUAGCGGGUCUGAGAGGAUGACCAGCAACACUGGACCGGAGACACGGUCCAGACUCCUACGGGAGGCAGACGUGGGGAAUAUUGCACAAUGGGCGCAAGCCUGAUGCAGCCAUGCCGCGUGUAUGAAGAAGGCCUUCGGGUUGUAAAGUACUUUCAGCGGGGAGGCGUUACCCGCAGAAGAAGCACCGGCUAACUCCGUGCCAGCAGCCGCGGUAAUUC
rnacentral:rRNA from 1 species